rnacentral:tRNA from 1 species
GUCCUGGUGGCUCAGUGGUUAAGCACUCAGCUGCUAACUGAAAGGUUGGCGGUUCAAAUCCACCCAGGAGCU